GUGGUAUCCUGUCUGAAUAUGGGGGGACCAUCCUCCAAGGCUAAAUACUCCUGACUGACCGAUAGUGAACCAGUACCGUGAGGGAAAGGCGAAAAGAACCCCGGCGAGGGGAGUGAAAAAGAACCUGAAACCGUGUACGUACAAGCAGUGGGAGCCUCUUAAUGGGGUGACUGCGUACCUUUUGUAUAAUGGGUCAGCGACUUAUAUUCUGUAGCAAGGUUAACCGAAUAGGGGAGCCGAAGGGAAACCGAGUCUUAACUGGGCGUUAAGUUGCAGGGUAUAGACCCGAAACCCGGUGAUCUAGCCAUGGGCAGGUUGAAGGUUGGGUAACACUAACUGGAGGACCGAACCGACUAAUGUUGAAAAAUUAGCGGAUGACUUGUGGCUGGGGGUGAAAGGCCAAUCAAACCGGGAGAUAGCUGGUUCUCCCCGAAAGCUAUUUAGGUAGCGCCUCGUGAAUUCAUCUCCGGGGGUAGAGCACUGUUUCGGCAAGGGGGUCAUCCCGACUUACCAACCCGAUGCAAACUGCGAAUACCGGAGAAUGUUAUCACGGGAGACACACGGCGGGUGCUAACGUCCGUCGUGAAGAGGGAAACAACCCAGACCGCCAGCUAAGGUCCCAAAGUCAUGGUUAAGUGGGAAACGAUGUGGGAAGGCCCAGACAGCCAGGAUGUUGGCUUAGAAGCAGCCAUCAUUUAAAGAAAGCGUAAUAGCUCACUGGUCGAGUCGGCCUGCGCGGAAGAUGUAACGGGGCUA
rnacentral:rRNA from 1 species